UACGUAGGCAGCGAGCGUUGUUCGGAAUUACUGGGCGUAAAGAGUGUGUAGGCGGUGCUCUAAGUUCGGUGUGAAAUCUCCCGGCUCAACUGGGAGGGUGCGCCGGAAACUGGAAUGCUUGAGCGUGGGAGAGGAAAGCGGAAUUCCUGGUGUAGCAGUGAAAUGCGUAGAUAUCAGGAGGAAUACCGAUGGCGAAGGCAGGUCUCUGGGCUGACACUGACGCUCAUGCACGAAAGCGUGGGGAGCAAACAGG
rnacentral:rRNA from 1 species